GGCGAUCGGGGUGGUGUAGUGGUUUAUCACGUCAGCCGCGAUAGCUGGAGACCCGGGUUCGAUUCCCGGCUUCGCCA
rnacentral:tRNA from 1 species